UGAAGUAGGCCGGAUGAUGCAGUUUUAUGUACUACUUCAGAAACCUAUACUGCUCGGGUCAUGGAGCUGCAUUCUAUCCAGCUAAUUGAUGGUGGCUCCCGUUGUCGGUCUUUCAAAGAAGCCGCACCAAUUGGCUCUUGAUGAUGACAGUAAUCCUUCCAAUGUCAAGAUCUGGUAUCCUUCUAGACUUUACACUUUUGUGCAUUGAAUCUGCGUCUGUAAGGCUGUCCAAUCGAUGACUGAAAUCCAGAAAUAGCGAAACCUUUUACAGUAUAAUUGGUG
rnacentral:lncRNA from 1 species